UUUUGUAGAGCUUGUUAAAGCUUUUUAUUUACAUUAAAAAUAACUAAUAAAUUAGUACAAAAU
rnacentral:tRNA from 1 species